GAUGAACGCUGGCGGCGUGCCUAAUACAUGCAAGUCGAGCGAACGGACGGGAAGCUGGCUUCUCUGAUGUUAGCGGCGGACGGGUGAUUAACACGUGGAUAACCUACCUAUAAGACGGGGAUAACUUCGGGAAACCGUACCUAAUACCGGAUAAUAUUUUGAACCGCAUGGUUCAAAAGUGAAAGACGGUCUUGCUGUCACUUAUAGAUGGAUCCGCGCUGCAUUAGCUAGUUGGUAAGGUAACGGCUUACCAAGGCAACGAUGCAUAGCCGACCUGAGAGGGUGAUCGGCCACACUGGAACUGAGACACGGUCCAGACUCCUACGGGAGGCAGCAGUAGGGAAUCUUCCGCAAUGGGCGAAAGCCUGACGGAGCAACGCCGCGUGAGUGAUGAAGGUCUUCGGAUCGUAAAACUCUGUUAUUAGGGAAGAACAUAUGUGUAAGUAACUGUGCACAUCUUGACGGUACCUAAUCAGAAAGCCACGGCUAACUACGUG
rnacentral:rRNA from 1 species